rnacentral:rRNA from 1 species
UCAGGAUGAACGCUGGCGGCGUGCUUAAUACAUGCAAGUCGAACGGAGAUAGUAGCAAUAUUAUCUUAGUGGCGAACGGGUGAGUAACGCGUUGGUGACCUGCCCCGAAGAGAGGGAUAGCAGUUCGAAAGGACUGAUAAUACCCCAUGUGGUUGUCGGUUUUAGAAUCUGAUAACUAAACGGCGAAAGUCGCUUCGGGAGGGGCCUGCGUCCCAUCAGCUAGUUGGUAGGGUAAUGGCCUACCAAGGCUAUGACGGGUAGGGGACCUGAGAGGGUGGCCCCCCACAAUGGAACUGAAACACGGUCCAUACACCUACGGGUGGCAGCAGUAGGGAAUAUUGGUAAUGUGCGAAAGCGCGAACCAGCAACGCCGCGUGCACGAUGAAGGCCUUCGGGUCGUAAAGUGCUUUUAGAGAGGAUGAGGAAGGACAGUACUUUCUGAAUAAGCCUCGGCUAACUACGUGCCAGCAGCCGCGGUAAAACGUAGGAGGCAAGCGUUAUCCGGAUUUACUGGGCGUAAAGCGCAUGCAGGUGGUUUUGUAAGUUGGAUGUGAAAGCUCCUGGCUUAACUGGGAGAGGUCGUUCAAAACUACAAGACUUGAGAUUGGUAGAGGAAAAUGGAAUUCCGGGUGUAGUGGUGAAAUGCGUAGAUAUCCGGAGGAACACCGGUGGCGAAGGCGGCUUCCUGGACCGAUUCUGACGCUGAGACGCGAAAGCGUGGGGAGCAAACAGGAUUAGAUACCCUGGUAGUCCACGCCGUAAACGAUGAGGACUAGGUGUUGCGGGUAUUGACCCCUGCA